ACUGCGGGUGUCGAAGGAGUUGUUCUCCUCGUUGUCGGCGUUGAAGUUCCCGGGCAGCUCACGGGCGAUCAGCUGUUCGAGUUCGUCCCCGGAGUCCCA
rnacentral:tRNA from 1 species